rnacentral:ribozyme from 14 species
UUUCUUUUCUCUGUUGUUUUAAAAGAAUUAACACAACAAGCAAUAAAGAAAAGAUAAGUCAUAAGUAAGAGUUCCUUUUUCAUCCUCAUUUGCAUAUGUGCAUAUCU